rnacentral:rRNA from 1 species
CGCGAAAACACUUCGGUGUGAGUAAGCGGCGGACGGGUGAGUAACGCGUAGGAAUCUACCUAGUAGUGGGGGACAACUCGGGGAAACUCGAGCUAAUACCGCAUACGCCCUACGGGGGAAAGCGGGGGACCUUCGGGCCUCGUGCUAUUAGAUGAGCCUGCGUUGGAUUAGCUAGUUGGUGGGGUAAAGGCCUACCAAGGCGACGAUCCAUAGCUGGUCUGAGAGGAUGAUCAGCCACACCGGGACUGAGACACGGCCCGGACUCCUACGGGAGGCAGCAGUGGGGAAUAUUGCGCAAUGGGCGAAAGCCUGACGCAGCCAUGCCGCGUGUGUGAAGAAGGCCUUCGGGUUGUAAAGCACUUUCAAUUGGGAGGAAAGGUUCACGGUUAAUAACCGUGAGCUGUGACGUUACCUUUAGAAGAAGCACCGGCUAACUCCGUGCCAGCAGCCGCGGUAAUACGGAGGGUGCAAGCGUUAAUCGGAAUUACUGGGCGUAAAGCGCGCGUAGGUGGUCUGUUAAGUCGGAUGUGAAAGCCCCGGGCUCAACCUGGGAACUGCAUCCGAUACUGGCAAACUAGAGUGCGGGAGAGGGAGGUAGAAUUCCACGUGUAGCGGUGAAAUGCGUAGAUAUGUGGAGGAAUACCAGUGGCGAAGGCGGCCUCCUGGCUCGACACUGACACUGAGGUGCGAAAGCGUGGGGAGCAGACAGGAUUAGAUACCCUGGUAGUCCACGCCGUAAACGAUGUCUACUAGCUGUAGGGGUACUUGAGACCUUUGUAGCGCAGCUAACGCAAUAAGUAGACCGCCUGGGGGAGUACGGCCGCAAGGUUAAAACUCAAAUGAAUUGACGGGGGCCCGCACAAGCAGUGGAGCAUGUGGGUUUAAUUCGAUGCAACGCGAAGAACCUUACCAGGCCUUGACAUCCUCGGAACUUUCUAGAAGAUAGAUUGGUGCCUUCGGGAACCGAGUGACAGGUGCUGCAUGGCUGUCGUCAGCUCGUGUCGUGAGAAGGUUGGGGUUAAGUCCCGUAACGAGCGCAAC